rnacentral:lncRNA from 1 species
UUAUGUUUGAGGAGUAGGAUCCUGAGGCAUUGGAGAAGAUCCUAGUUGCUGCUUCUCGAACAUCAAUUCCAAGGGUUUGAGCUUGUUCUAAUGCAUGCUUCCUUACAUAGUUUUGCUCUGCUGGUUCAUCUAAUUCAGCUACCAUCUUCACUGCUCUAUCCAGAAGAUUCAUCUGUCGAAAAUUAUAUAACACUAUGAGCAACCAAAGCAAUGGAGCAACAAACAUUCUAGUAAAAUAAGAUGAAAGAUAACACAUAAAAUUGUAUCCCAAAUAUCAUUUCGUGUUCGAGACAAAUCAAUGAAUAUGCAAUGAAGCGAAGAUAUUAGUUUUUCAGAUGAAGAGAAAAAGGUUGAAGUAUUCCUACACCACAACUAUUUUAGUAACAAGAUUGGAAUAUGAAGAAUUCAAGUAGUCAUUUUGAACAAAACUCAGAAUACUUCAAUCAAUGAUGGAACACAAAAAAGCAAAAGAAGUGUUACCUGAUUGAUGAAAAGGUCUCUGAACACUCCUGAGCAAUUAACAACAACAUCAAUCCUAGGCCUUCCAAGCUCUUCAAUACUUACAGGUUCCACCCGGUUUACCCUACCGAAGGUAUCAGCCACUGGUCUCACACCAAUCAUCCACAAGACCUGACCCAAGGAUUCACCGUAUGUUUUAAUAUUAUCGGUUCCCCACAAUACAAGUGCUAUCGUCUCAGGAUAC